CCUACGGGAGGCAGCAGUGGGGAAUUUUGGACAAUGGGCGCAAGCCUGAUCCAGCCAUGCCGCGUGCAGGAUGAAGGCCUUCGGGUUGUAAACUGCUUUUGUACGGAACGAAAAGACUCUGGUUAAUACCUGGGGUCCAUGACGGUACCGUAAGAAUAAGCACCGGCUAACUACGUGCCAGCAGCCGCGGUAAUACGUAGGGUGCGAGCGUUAAUCGGAAUUACUGGGCGUAAAGCGUGCGCAGGCGGUUAUAUAAGACAGAUGUGAAAUCCCCGGGCUCAACCUGGGAACUGCAUUUGUGACUGUAUAGCUAGAGUACGGCAGAGGGGGAUGGAAUUCCGCGUGUAGCAGUGAAAUGCGUAGAUAUGCGGAGGAACACCGAUGGCGAAGGCAAUCCCCUGGGCCUGUACUGACGCUCAUGCACGAAAGCGUGGGGAGCAAACAGGAUUAGAUACCCUGGUAGUCCACGCCCUAAACGAUGUCAAACUGGUUNUUGGGUCUUCACUGACUCAGUAACGAAGCUAAACGCGUGAAGUUGACCGCCGNGGAGGACGGCCGCGAGGUAGAAACGACGAAGUAGAAGUUAGACGGCGUGAGACGUUAGCCGACGGACGACGACGAGGGAGGAGG
rnacentral:rRNA from 1 species